rnacentral:misc_RNA from 1 species
GGAAGCAAAAGUCGUAACAAGGUUUCCGUAGGUGAACCUGCGGAAGGGUCAUUAUUGUAUAACCGAGGUGCGAGGGCUGUCGCUGACCCGAAAGGUCGUGCACGCCCGAGUGCCCUCACACACAUCCAUCUCACCCCUAUGUGCACCACCGCGUGGGUCCCCCUUUGGCUUGUUCGGAGGGGGGCUUACGUUUUCACACAAACUUUGUAUGCAGUGUAGAAUGUAUUUUUUGUUUUUGCGAUCACGCAAUCAAUACAACUUUCAACAACGGAUCUCUUGGCUCUC